CUUGGUCAUUUAGAGGAAGUAAAAGUCGUAACAAGGUCUCCGUUGGUGAACCAGCGGAGGGAUCAUUAACGAGUUUCGUACUCCAAACCCUAUGUGAACAUACCUGUUUUCGUUGCUUCGGCAGGUGAAGGCGGAGGGCCUCCGGGCCCGAAGCCGCCGCCGGGUGCCCCGCGAGGGGCCGCCGGGUGGGUCUGCCGGAGGGCACAGACUCUGUAUUACAAACGUACCUCUCUGAGUUUAUUUUACAAACAAGUAGAAACUUUCAACAACGGAUCUCUUGGUUCUGGCAUCGAUGAAGAACGCAGCGAAAUGCGAUAAGUAAUGUGAAUUGCAGAAUUCAGUGAAUCAUCGAAUCUUUGAACGCACAUUGCGCCCGCCAGUAUUCUGGCGGGCAUGCCUGUCCGAGCGUCAUUUCAACCCUCAGGCCCUGGUUGCCUGGUGUUGGGGCGCCGCGCACCCUCUGCGGGCGCGGGCCCCGAAAGUCAGUGGCGGGCUCGCCAGGACUCCGAGCGCAGUAAUUUUCUCUCGCUGUGGAGCGCCUGGUGGGUUACCAGCCGUAAAACACCCCAAAUUCCAAAGGUUGACCUCGGAUCAGGUAGGAAUACCCGCUGAACUUAAGCAUAUCAAUAAGCGGAGGA
rnacentral:rRNA from 1 species